rnacentral:rRNA from 1 species
UGGGGAAUAUUGGACAAUGGGCGAAAGCCUGAUCCAGCCAUGCCGCGUGUGUGAAGAAGGUCUUCGGAUUGUAAAGCACUUUAAGUUGGGAGGAAGGGCAGUAAGCGAAUACCUUGCUGUUUUGACGUUACCGACAGAAUAAGCACCGGCUAACUCUGUGCCAGCAGCCGCGGUAAUACAGAGGGUGCAAGCGUUAAUCGGAAUUACUGGGCGUAAAGCGCGCGUAGGUGGUUCGUUAAGUUGAAUGUGAAAGCCCCGGGCUCAACCUAGGAACUGCAUCCAAAACGGGCGAGCUAGAGUAGGGCAGAGUGUGGUGGAAUUUCCUGUGUAGCCGUGAAUUGCGUAGAUAUAUGAAGAAACACCAGUUGCGAAGGCGACCACCUGGGCUCAUACUGACACUGAGGUGCGAAAGCGUGGGGAGCAAACAGG